CGGCGGUGGGCGGGGGCCACGAGAAGACCCCGCCCACGCAGCAGCAGCAGGACAGUCAGUGGCUGGUUCUUGGAUAACCCUUUGGCCUUACGACUCACGGACUUGGAAUGGAACGGAGCUGGACGUUAUUAUUUGAAUUAAGAUGGCUUUUCUCUAUUUUUCUCUCUAGACAGCCCUUAAUUCUUUAAGGAAAUUAAAACAAACAUAAAAAGGUAAAUAAGAAUGGUAAUUUGAGGCCUUUCUCUACAAAGUUUUUCUUCUCAAGCAGGGCCCCACAUAACAGGGUCUUAUUGUACACAACAACCUCCUAAACAUUACUUCCUUGAAAAUCUUAUUCACUAAUUAAGGAUUUUGCAGUGGAAAGAACUAUCUAUUCCAGAGUCUACCCUUUUUUUGUUUUUGCUUUUUUUGGUUACUUAUUCCCCCCCUUCCGCUUUUGCAUGUAGUUCCUCAUCAGAACCACCUGCACAAGUCUCUCCAUCCAAAACGUGGAAACGGAAGAAAAAAAAUGUUACGUGACUGCCUUUUUUCUCCUCAAAUUAUGCUGUGAAUUUUUCAAGAAUUUAUUUUCCCUUUGGAUAUGUUUUUAUACCAAAGCAGUUGUUUUAUAGCAUAUAGGUGUCUGUAACCAAUAAUGUAGCAGUUCACCACUUUUGACGCAAAAGUUUAUCAUGAUUAUUUUAACGUCAAUACAAAAAAAAAACAACAGCUGCAAUAUAUUACUUUAGCAAAACCGGAGACCGUCGUCGAGAACGUUGGCUAUUGUGUAUUAUGACCAGAUUCGUUUUACCAAAACUGUUUCCAUAUUAAUUGGUAGAUUAUUUUGGGAGUCUUUUAAAAACUUUGGUAUGUUUAGAAACAUUUGGUAGUUACUCUGCAGGCCCCAGAGUAGCAGGAUAGAAGCUGAUGGUUUAAAAAAAAAAAAAGAAGAAAAAAAAAGAAAAAGAGACUAAUGCGUUCUAUUUGUGUCGUAUUUUUUCUUUUGCCCCUCCCUCCCCCACCCCAUCAUACUAUUUCAAAGGGUUUUGCUGCCUUUCAUACAUCAUUUGGUCAACGUGCUAAGUUCUGCCAUGAAUGGAGACCUUAGGUCGUGGUUCUGGCAGGACGGUGAUAACUUUGGGAGAUCAGAGUUGAGUUUGGAAUGGUCUUGUGCUCAUGUGGUAGGGCAGAUCCCUGUGAUUGUGGUCCUAUUUAAAGGGAAACCGUUGCCCAUAAGCCCACAAUCCCAUGCUUGGCUUAGGCAGACAUGCAUGUCCUCUCAGAUCAUUACAGUCAAUAACCAGAAUCUUUAGGUUUUUGUUUUUAUUUUUUUGUUAUUUUUUAUCAGGGAUUUUAAAAAGUGCAUUCUUUUUUUCUGUUACUCAUUUUUAUCAACUUUGAAAAAUUUAGACGGAAGAAAAAAACCUGCCCACAACCGCCUUUUAAGCAGAGGCCAGGGUCGAAGGUCAUUUUAGUGUCAAUUAAGAGGGGAGAACAUCAUACAGACAAAAAUAAAUACCAUACUUGUUAUUUCCACAAUAUAAAUGUAAAGCUACCUAUAACUUGAUUGGGGUUUUAUCUGGAUGUCAAGGUCAAUUGCAAAUUUGCAAUCAUUUUUCAUACCCCAUAGAAUUUGAGACAUUCAGAAUUGGCCAGUGACUUGAUUACUGGCCCUUCAUACUGGUACUUAACAUUCCAAAAUAAAGACUGAAAAAAAAAUUUGACUGCAGUGACUCGUAAGUGUGCGCCUAUUUCAGAUCAUGCUGAUUGACCUCUUAUUUAGAGCAGUUGUCAUGAAAUGCAGCCCCUUUUUAAUAGUUGAAAUAGAAUUUAUGUAUAUAUUUAUAUUUUUUUAAUAAAGGAAGUAUAGAACUCACUACCUUGCUCCUUGCUGGUAUGUUGAUUAUGUUUGUCAAUCUGGUGACCAUUCGGUGGGCAGGAAUUCCUGUUUUCUUAGUGGCAAAACCUUGCCUUUUGGCAGUGGUACUUGACUGCAUCAGGACAACAUUAUGAGGUAGGGUUUGAAUCAAACAGGGAAAGCUAGAUCUUCAAACCUUAAUGUUCACAGGGUAUAUUGUAAGUGCAUGUACAUCACAAACUUUACUUUUUGGUUAUAUGAGAAGCACAUGGUUGGAAAAAAAAAAGGUUCCAUUUUCCAUAAGCCUGUUUAGUUUGUGGGUUUUACACAAAUCAGUAUACUUGUUAACAUUAUCUUACCACCCAACAAAAGUCUCAAUCCUCUGAUUUAAUUUGAAUAUUUUCCUUCAUUUUUUUUAUUUCACAUUUUAUCACUUUUUGUACAUGCAUCAUGCACUAUAGAAUUGAACAGCAUGGGGGAAAGGAUAAGUCCAUGUAUCCACAGAUUGUAAGAUCUAGUCAAGACUUUGCUGUGUUUAUGACAAUGCCCUUUGUAUUAUAUUAAGACAGUCUUAUGUAUGAUAUAUAAAAAGAAGUUAAUUGAAUUGUUCUGUGUCUUUAUUCUUGUCUUUUUCCUGCAAAAUGUUCUCACAGUUGUCGGUAUAGCUUUAUUACCCAACGCCUUUUUAUUACAUAUGUACAUAGAACGUAUAUCGUCCCGUGUCGUUGUUUCAAUGGUAAUCAAGAUGAUUGACUACUUCCUAUGUUGUACGUAUCCCAGUCCAUAACCCCAUAAGAACGUUAGUUAUCUGGGAACGUAUCAGUCUACUCGAGACAUUUAUUUACAUAGAUUUCACGUUUAGCAAUGCCGUGGCUCGUUG
ensembl:lncRNA